rnacentral:rRNA from 1 species
GACGAGCGCUGGCGGCGUGCUUAACACAUGCAAGUCGAACGGAAAGGCCCUGCUUUUGUGGGGUGCUCGUGUGGCGAACGGGUGAGUAACACGUGAGUAACCUGUCCCUGACUGUGGGAUAUCUUUAGGAAACUGGGGCUAAUACCGGAUAGGAGCUCCUGCUGCAUGGUGGGGGUUGGAAAGUUUCGGCGGUUGGGGAUGGACUCGCGGCUUAUCAGCUUGUUGGUGGGGUAGUGGCUUACCAAGUUUUUGAGGGGUAGGCGACCUGGGAGGGUGACCAGCCACAUUAGGGCUGGGAUACGGCCCAGACUCCAAUGGGAGGCAACGGGGGAGAGUAUAACACAGCGGGCGGGAGCCAGUGGUGACGACGCCGCGUGCGGAAUAACAUGCUUCUGGUUGUAAACCGCUUUCGCCUGAGACGAGGCGAUAAUGACGGUAAUGGGUAAAGAAGCCCCGGCUAACUACGUG